rnacentral:tRNA from 1 species
GGCGUGGUGGCACAAUCUGGUAAUGCUCCAGGUUUAGGCCCUGGUGAGACCCACAAGUCUCGUGCGGGUUCGAAUCCCGCCCGCGCCG